rnacentral:rRNA from 1 species
UACGGGGGGGCAAGCGUUGUUCGGAAUUACUGGGCGUAAAGGGCUCGCAGGCGGCCGACUAAGUCAGACGUGAAAUCCCUUGGCUUAACCAAGGAAUGGCGUCUGAUACUGGACGGCUUGAAUCCGGGAGAGGGAUGUGGAAUUCCAGGUGUGAGCGGUGAAAUGCGUAGAUAUCUGGAGGAACACCGGUGGCGAAGGCGGCAUCCUGGGACCGGUAUUGGA